GUAUCUCAUCACGACCUGGACAGUGGCUGUGCUGAUGGGUAUGUGACUUUAUUUGCCUAUGUCUGUUUCUAGUCAGCAGAUUUGUCAUAGGCAUAUUAGUGUAGUUACCGUAUUGCAAGGGCUGAAAUCUGGAUGAUAUCAGCUUCUUUUUAUUGUUGUUUUAAAGUGAGGUAUGUAUGGGUCUUAUGAAAUUUUUACAGAAAUAUAUUGGAGGGCAAAUAAUUUUAUUUUAGUUUUUUAUUCCCAAAUGAUACCCAAAACAUGUAAGCUUCACACUAUGUUAAUUUCUGCAGGAUGGGAAAACAUUGGACAAUGAGUUGGAGGUUGUUGAGGGAAUGAAGCUAGAUAGGGGCUACAUAUCCCCUUAUUUCAUCACCAACCAGAACAAUCAGAAAUGUGUAAGUUUUAGUUUGACUCAGUGAUAACUAUGUCUUGAAACUGUUAGAGGGCUGCUUGUUAAAGUUAGCAGCACCUCAAGUCCCUUUUUGCUUGAUGAUGAUUAUCUUCAAACUUGUGUAUGUGCUGAUAGGAAUUGGAAAAUCCUCUAAUCAUAAUCCAUGAGAAGAAAAUCUCAAGUAUUAAUGAUGUGGUUAAAGUAUUGGAGUUGGUUUUGCAGGUUAGCAUUUCUCUGGUUAGGUUCACUAGUUUCUUCGUUUUUACUAUGAAUUGGUUGACAAACUUUUGCUCCUUUUCAGAAGCAAAGGUCUUUGCAUUUUGUUAUAUAUUUCAGAACCAAAGUUAUAAAAGAAAAUGGUUUUCCUCUUUGUUAAUUGAGAAUCAUCUGCAGUUAUGAUUUCAGAUCUGUAGAUAACCUGUUGUUGCUGAUAUUGCUACACGAGAGGAGAAUAGAACAGCUUGGAAAAUGUGCAAGAAGGGAGAGCUAACUCAUACAACGAAGAACAAAUUGAUGAAGUUAAGAUCAAAAUUAGUAGAAUUUGUGAGCUCUCCAUUAUUUAUAAUUAUAGGUAGGAAGUAUGUAUGUAAUAGAGCAAAUAUUGGUUGACUAUGUAAUAACAAUUGAAUUUUCAAGUUUUA
rnacentral:lncRNA from 1 species